UACAGAGGGUGCGAGCGUGUCCGGAAUUAUUGGGCGUAAAGAGCUCGUAGGCGGUUUGUCGCGUCUGCUGUGAAAACCCGAGGCUCAACCUCGGGCCUGCAGUGGGUACGGGCAGACUAGAGUGCGGUAGGGGAGAUUGGAAUUCCUGGUGUAGCGGUGGAAUGCGCAGAUAUCAGGAGGAACACCGAUGGCGAAGGCAGAUCUCUGGGCCGUAACUGACGGCUGAGGAGCGAAAGCAUGGGGAGCGAACAGG
rnacentral:rRNA from 1 species